AUGCCUCUGGCAUGCACUCGUCCGGCCCCCAAGCAAAAGAAGCUCCCAACCAGCUGGUUCUACCUGGAAGCCUUUUGGGGCUUCCAGGAAGGGUGGCCAAGGUCAGGGUCCGGCCCCGGGUUCCUCUCCACCCUGAGACCCUCCCUCCGCCUCCUGCUCCAGGGAGGGGCUCGGGCUGGAGGGAAGGAGCCUCUUAGGGUUCUCCAAGUUCAGUUCUACAGCUCAGGGGAGGUGGGGUUCCGAAGAUUGGGGUGCGGAGCCGAAGGCCUGGAAGGAGGGAAUCGAAGUCAGCGUGGAGGGAGGGAGGAAGGAGGCUGUGACUCACCUCCUGUAACCAUACACCCCUCCCGGUCUCCUUCUCCCCUCUAUGCCCAAUCACCUCCGGGCCGCCGGCCGCCGCUGCCCUCCCCUCUGCCAGCGACGCAUUUAAAGGAAAAUGAAAGGGCGGCCCCGGCGCCCCGAGUCCAAGCUUCAAGCUCUCCCCACCCCCCACGCCAGCCUCAGCUCGACCGUGACGGUGACGGUGCGCGCUCAAAAGGAGCCCCAGCCGGGGAGAGCUGUGUCCACCGGCAGCUAGAGGAAGCCGGGAAGACUCGGAGAGGGAGGAGUAGGAGGAAGAGGAGGAGGGGAGGAGCACUGAGGCAGCCGCUGGGGCUGGGGGCUGCAUCCUCUUCCCUCCUUUUCUUCCUAUUCCACCCCAAAGUCUCCAUCCUCUUCCCCCUCCUCUUUCCCGGCUGCACAAAGAGCGAGCUCAGACACGCAGACCCCUCCCCUCCGUCUCCUCCUCCUCCAAAUCCCGGGGGUCUCCGGGAAGGCUCCGCGGUAGCCGUCGCCGGCGGCGGCGGCGGCGGCGGCGGCGGCUGGGAGGCGGGGGAAGCCCUAGACGCGCCGGCCGCUCCUCCCCGCCCGCCCGUCCUGGGGGGCCGGGGCCAGCGAGCCGCCCCGCCCCUGAGCCCCGCCCCGCGAGCUUUCCCGGGAGGGGCCGGGGGCGCGGCGGCCGGCCAGCCCUCCCCUUACUUCCCUGCCUCCGCCCUCCCCUUCACCAACCCCAGCGGCUCGGCUGCCCCCUCCGCCACCUCUGCUGAGCCUCGGCUGCGGGUGAGCGGACGGGCGAGCGGCCGGUGCGGGCCGGGCCGGGCCGGGCUGGGGCGGGGCGCGCGACUCUGCCAGAUGUGCAGCAGCAGCAGCAGCGGCCACAGCCACAGCAACCUCCGCAGCCGUCAGUGA
rnacentral:lncRNA from 1 species